rnacentral:misc_RNA from 1 species
AAGUCGUAACAAGGUUUCCGUAGGGUGAGUUAUUAUCCCCCAUUCCCUGUUCUUGUGAUUUUUGCUAACAUUUUUUCCAGUGAACCUGCGGAAGGAUCAUUAAAGGUUUAGGGUACCCAGUGCCCAAACUUCAACCCUAUGUUUUAACUAAACCUGUUUCUUUGCCGGUUUCGACCGGCAGAAGUUUUCUCAAACUCAUUAUAAACGUGUCUUCUGAAUCCAAAAUUAAAUAAUAUAAAACUUUCAACAACGGAUCUCUUGGUUCUG